rnacentral:lncRNA from 1 species
AAGGUUAACUAUAGGAAAACCAAGGAGCUCCUGCUCAUAGCCAAAUGAAAUAGCAAAAACUUUGAUUGAUACCAUGUCAGAACCUCCAGCUUGAGUGUAGUCAUCAAAAGACUGCAGCCACAUGAGUGAUCUCAGGAAGAACCAGCAGAAGAACUUCCCACACUGCUAAGGCACAAUGUUUGGACCAGCCCAGGAUCCCUCACUCACAAGAACUUCUAUCGGACUUAGCUUAUCCCUCAGAAGACCCUGGACACCACCAAAGGUCAUCAGCACAAUCUUGAUGGAUGUCUAAGAAUUGAAGAUUGAUUUUUGCCUAAUGACAAUAAAG